GACAGUGACCAAGCAUGAAAAUCAAUGCUGUUCUUUUUAUAUAAGUAACGGCCCAGUAUUUUUCCAACUGCCAUGUCAUUGACGCAACAUCGGCCCUCACCUUGACUAUGAAUGAACUGUACUAACUUAGUCCAGUUCAUUAAUUCAUAGCCAAGGAAUGAAUCAAAAAAAGGGAUUUUUGAUCAAGAAUAAAAGAUUAUUGGAACU
rnacentral:lncRNA from 1 species